UUCACAUCCAGUUCAAUCUUAAGAGGUGUGGCAAGGACAUAUGCUUUAUAUAUAAAUAAAGCUGAUUUCUUCUAAAAGAUUAAAAGAUUUCUGAAAUAAAUAUUAGCUCUGGUAGUACGAGUGAGAAAACUUUCCGUCAUGAACAAGCUGGUAUUUCUAAUUGUAAUUAUGGCUUUGAUUGCCGUUGCCAGCGCACAAAUACUGACGUCCGGGGGUAUCAAAGACUGGGCAGGCAACUAUUACGAUUUUACUACUGGACAAUAUGCCAGCUCUGCAACAGGCAAAGUAUACAACACAGCUCCUUUACCGUUACCCUAUUACCACCAUCCUCUUCUGUGGUGAGAUAGCAGAGAUAUUAAGGUACAAUAAGAAGCGUGGCAGUUACAAUUGUACAAUCUUAAAGUGACGGUUUCUGAUGUAAUGUCAAAAGACUACGUUAUUACACUUCGCUUACAAAAAUAAAAUAUCAUUUUAUUAGUUUA